CUCCUCCUCACUCCUCCUCACUCCUCCUCACUCCUCACUCCUCCUCACUCCUCCUCAAAAAUCCGGGUCGAACGGCCUCUAUAUUACUACUUAUAAGGACAUAAUUAGUGUAUGAUUGACAUUUAGCAAAAACAACAUAGUGAUACAUUGCGAGCGAGAGAAAUAUAGGCGUGUAAACAUAGUACAACAUACGAAAUAAAAUCGAAUAAUUUGGCGAUUAAAAACACAGUGAAUUGUCGUGAAGGACGGCCCUUUUAGUAGAGCAUUCCGACAAAAGUUUAAAAAUAAAAGUUUGAAAAUAAAAGUUUGAAAAUAAAAGUUUAAAAAUAAAAGUUUAAAAAUAAAAGUUUGAAAAUAAAAGUUUGAAAAUAAAAGUUUGAAAAUAAAAGUUUGAAGUUCGUUCGUAGUCAGGAAAAAAGCCUGCGAAUACCGCCUUCUACGCAGGCUGAUCAAAAACGUAUUAAAUUUGUGAGGAAAACAGAAAGAAAAAUCAUAACAUAAGCGUGUCGUUUACAUGUGAUAGAGAUUUCCCUUGAUUUACAUAAACUUUGACUUUGAUUUUCUCGACUUACACAACGU